rnacentral:rRNA from 1 species
AUUGAACGCUGGCGGCAUGCCUUACACAUGCAAGUCGAACGGCAGCACGGGAGCAAUCCUGGUGGCGAGUGGCGAACGGGUGAGUAAUAUAUCGGAACGUGCCCAGUAGUGGGGGAUAGCCCGGCGAAAGCCGGAUUAAUACUGCAUGAGACCUGAGGGUGAAAGCGGGGGAUCGCAAGACCUCGCGCUAUUGGAGCGGCCGAUAUCAGAUUAGCUAGUUGGUGGGUAAAGGCCUACCAAGGCAACGAUCUGUAGUUGGUCUGAGAGGACGACCAGCCACACUGGGACUGAGACACGGCCCAGACUCCUACGGGAGGCAGCAGUGGGGAAUUUUGGACAAUGGGCGCAAGCCUGAUCCAGCAAUGCCGCGUGCAGGAAGAAGGCCUUCGGGUU